rnacentral:rRNA from 1 species
AUGAAGGAAAUUGACAAGUGCAGGCGGCGUUUUCUCUGGGGAAAGGAUCAAGAACUCUCGGGCGGCAGCUGCAAGGUUAGCUGGGAACGGGUCUGCUCCCCGAUUGAGCAUGGCGGACUCGGUGUCUUGAACCUAACCAAGUUCAGCCGCGCGCUUCGGCUGAGAUGGCUAUGGCACAGUUGGAAAAACCCCACUCGGCCUUGGGUGGGUACGGAGCCACCAUGCGACGCCUCGGAUCAUGCUCUUAUCAAUGCAGCGAUGGUUGUUGCUGUCGGCAACGGCAAAAUGGUGAGCUUUUGGCACUGCUCAUGGCUCGGGCCGGUGCCGCUGAAGUUCUGCUUCCCGUUUCUCUUCAGGCACUCGAGGCGCAAGGGCAUAACUGUGGUGCAAGCCAUCAGCGGCGACCGUUGGGUUCUGGACCUAGCGCAUGGCAACAGCAACGAGCUUGUCAGCGAGGUUAUCUCUCUUCAUCGACUCAUUCAGUGCCGGCAGCUCAACCUUCAGGCAGAGGAGCAGGACCAAAUACGCUGGAGCUCGGAGGGGUCAGGCCAGUACAGCUCCCGCUCGGCCUAUGCCAUCUAG